CCAGCAGCCGCGGUAAUUCCAGCUCCAAUAGUGUAUAUUAUUGUUGCUGUAGUUAAAAAGCUCGUAGUUGGAUUUCGGAAUGCGUCUGUCAAAGCCCAUCCAAGUGGUGUGGCUGGACUUGGACGCUUCCUGUUUUUGGGUUAACGGCCCUCUGUCUUUCGAGAUGGGGGAUUACUGUUCCUAAUUGUUUACUUUGAAAAAAUUAGCGCGUUCAAAGCAGGUAGAUUUGCCUUGAAUAGUUUAGCAUGGGAUAAUAGAAUAGGACCACCGGCCUUAUUUUAUUGGUUUCUAAAGCUGGGGUAAUGAUUAAUAGGGACAGUUGGGGUCGGUCGUAUUGAAUCGUCAGAGGUGAAAUUCUAUGAUUGAUUCAAGACGAACUGAUGCGAAAGC
rnacentral:rRNA from 1 species